CCUACAUCACAUGGACUGCAGCGGUUCAAGAAGGCAGCUCACCACCACCUUCUCAUGGAUGAAAUUCAAAAAAGAUUCAAGUUCAGAUCAUUUGAGGAAUACACAACCACAUUUCGUGAAGGAAGCACUGUUUAUGUUGGUGGAAAUGAAAUUGUUUAUCAGAUAAACUUUGACAAAUCUCCUAAUCUAGUACAAAAGGUACAGUAGAAGCAGCUGGACCCUGGUAUGUUACUAGGAUGUAACAUUAUGACCUGUAUCCAUUAUCUUUAAAAUUGCAGAUGAAUUGUUGGCAACCUGUGGAGGAACACGCAUUUUCCAACUCUGUAUUGUCAUGUCGAGUGUGGUAACUACCCAGGGACUUUUGUUUUGUGAUCCCUUGUUCUUGCUUGCACAUAAUCAUAUUAAGCAUUCCCAGGAAACUUGCUUAGCAUUGGGGGAAGAGUUUUCAAACGAUGUUAUUGGUGGGAAGAACCAGUAAAACUGAGCUUGUUGUUUCAAGUGACUCAUCAGAUAUAAGCACACGCUUGAUUAUUAAGGAAGACUCUCAGAUGCCCCUCCGUCUCUGCGCUCCAUCCUCCAAACUCACCAUAGAACCAGAAUCACAUGCAAAUCCUUCCUGGGCUCGGUGCUUGUAUGCUGACUGUAAGCACAUGUAUUAUUUACAUUCCAUAUCCAGGACAUCGGAACUGCCUCAGGAUGCAGCUGCACAUGCUUCACUGUUUAUCACUAUUUUGUCUGCUUGUUAGCAACAUUUUGAAAUACAUUCAGCUCAAAAUCAAUGGAGCAAACAUUAUCCUUGAGUGAGACAAUAAGUGAAGGAUCAGACGUGUCAAUUGAGCUGAAUAUUGGGUGGGCCACAUAACUAACAGCUUAAUGCUGCUGCCUGAAGCAGAUUUCUACUCCAAUAGCUCUGUGUUCAAGCAGUUGCAUUUUCUAAACGUGAUUGUUGACUUGAAAAAUAUACCCUGAAGAAAAUGGUUGAUUAAAUCUAGGCUGAAACCAUUUUCUGACCCAGGGGUGAAUAUUUGCAUUUGAUUCUGUUAUCCAGCCUUAGGCAGCAAGUAUUAAUACCACACCCUCCCUCGCCCCAACCACCCACAUCCCUUCCCCAAAAUCCUAGCACCUCUGACAUAAACAAAAACAGAACUACAAAGUGAAGAGCUCAUCGGUUUUUGUCUUUUUUUUUGGGAAUAAAAUUAAACUCGCACAUUGCUAAAAUAGCACAUUCUGUUUGAAUGGCAAAGCAUGCUCGAUGGGCUGAAUGGCCUACCCCUUGUUCCUAUGUGAGACAGAAGUAGAAAUUCCUCAUUACACCAUUUGAAAAAGAAUUAAGUUUACAAGAGUAUUGCCUGGAUGAAAAAGUUCAAAAUGUAAGCUCGGGAAUUGUGGGCAGGUAGUGGGAUAAUGCUUUAAGUUAGGAUAAAGUUUCUUUGGAUUGUUGAUACAACUUGUUUAUGCUAUAACUCGUUUAUUAAAUUCUAAUAGUGUUCAGGGUGAAAGCCAGCCAUGGGAGUGAUACAAACUAAGUUGAUAAUUUAAAACUAUUAUCAAAAUGAAAAAGGGAGUGAGAUUUUCAUGGCCUAACUCAAAGGAAAAGCUACCUUUGUAAUCUAAAGAUCCCCCAAGGAGUUUUAUUUGCUUAUUUUGGUUUCUGUGAAGAGUGCAGUGUGAAACAUUCAUGGGCAAACCUCUCAGCAAUGUCAGCAAGCCCCACUGCAGGACUUGAGCACCAAAACCAAGGCUGACACUCCAGCGAGGUACUGAGGGAGUGCUGCACACUUGGGGAUGUUAAACGGAGGCCCAAUCUGGUCCCUCAGGUGGCAGUAAAAGAUCCCAUGGCACAAUUUUGCUGGAGAGCAGGGGCGUUAGUCAUGGAGUCCCGGCCAAUAUUUAUCCUCUCAACACUGAGCAGCCCAAGUGGAAGGCUUACAUAAAACAUGAGCCAGCGUUUAAAGAGAGCAAGAUCAGCCCCCAUCAGCAUAAGGUAUCCGGGGUGCAAUGAGAGGGAGAACCAAUUGCCUCCUGGUUUACUAAGUUACGGAUUUCAUUGUACUGCUCUGAAAGAUGCUGAGCAGAGCUCAUCUGUCCUUCAUCCUCCCAUCUUAAUGGGGAUAGGUCAGAACAUUGGAGAAGGAGGGAGAGGGUGCGAGAGAGAGAGCCAGAAACAUCUCCAGCCUUUUUAGUGGUAAUAAAAGCAGCAGGUUGCUUGCCCCGUGAUCAUAUUUGCUGUUGAAAGUGUGUUAUCUGAGGAAGCGAAAAUGUCAAGAAAAUUAGGAGAUAAAAUGCCUUCAAACAGCAACUAAACAAGUUAAAAAGAAAUAAAAGAAAGAACCUGCAUUUAUAUAUUACCUAUCACAUCCUCAGGGCUUGCUAAUGUGUUUCACAGCCAAGGUAAUUAUUUUGCACAAAUGUGUUCAAAGCUGAAAUCCUGAAGUGAGUGGCAUUUUCAACCUCCCCACAGCACGAUGUAUAAACAUGGAUUGACUUCGAACAAACACCAUUGUUCCGGGUGGAAACCAACUUUUCAACGUCAUUAGGUGGUUAUACAAGUCUGUUUGCAGAACCUAGAAACUAAAGAACAGGAGAACAAGGUUCAGCGUGGGGUGAUGUCACUGGAUUUGUAAUCUAAACACCCAGACUAGUGCUCUGGGGACAUGGGUUCACCCACCAUGGCAGCUGGUGGAAUUUGAAAUCAGUUAAUAAAUCCGCAAUAUAGAGCUAGUGUAGUAACCUGAUGUGUAAUAUACCUUUAAGACAAAAGUUGCAAUGGAAGAUCACAUGAUCUUGGUACCCAGUAGCAGAGUAGUGUGGGCUACCUUGGUAGUCAGUAGUCUUGAGUUAGAUUCUGAAGAGUAAAGGCAGAGUUUUGAGUUGGAAGCACACAAGUGUAGCUGCUGAAUUCCUUUUGUAAAUAAACACAAUGUAUUUCUCCUAAGAA